rnacentral:ncRNA from 3 species
AAUAUAACACAGAUGGCCUG